rnacentral:lncRNA from 1 species
AUUACCUCCGCUUCCAAAUCAGUCCAGAACCAAAUCUCAUUUCUGCAAAACCCUAGAGAUCAAAACUCACUUAAUAUACAGUAACUAAUUCCUCGACCAAGUAACCAGCCCAAAUGUAUCCAGAACCCUUUAUUGAAUCAAAACCCUAAAAGUUUGAAACUUAGGGUGGCACCUAGAGAUGUUGUCAAAACCUGUGCAAAAUCAAUAAGAUUGUAUUCGUUAAAUUAAACCGCACUCGGUUUAAUGCACGAAAUUCAAAAUAACAACGAACUUCGAAUAGGGAGAAUUGAAGUAGAGGAAUGGAGAUCAGUGAGUUAAGAGGAUUGAGUUAGAAACAGAGCAGUGAAGAAGAAAAGAAAAUGGAAUUGUAGAAGCACAAUGAAUGUUGGAAAGUAAACUGGGAGAUAGAGAGCAAAAGCAACAAACUUGGAGAUAGAUUUGAGCUUCUAACCUGAACCCAGUUCACGAAUUGUGGAGGCGGCGAUAAGUAAUCGAAACUCAGCUUAGAGGGGGCUUCUAGGAAUGUUUCUUUUCUUCGCCAGCUUGGAUUGUUCGCGCUCUUAUUUCCUUUCUGUUUCUUCUUGUUCGCGCAUUCAGUACCUUUCCUUAGUUAUUUUGUAAAUUGCUUCUCUGUGUUUUGUUUUCUGGAUUUGGAGAAGAAAGCCCAGAAGCUCGGGGGUGUUCCCUUUUUGUCCCUCUCAGCUCUUUCUGUUUAGCUCGCAGAUCGCUCGGCACUCUCCCCUUCCCUCUGCUAUUACGUCUGUUUUUCC